rnacentral:rRNA from 1 species
AUACGUAGGGGGCGAGCGUUGUCCGGAAUGACUGGGCGUAAAGGGCGUGUAGGCGGCCUGAUAAGUUUGGAGUGAAAGUCCUGUUUUCAAGAUGGGAAUUGCUUUGGAUACUGUCGGGCUUGAGUGCAGAAGAGGUAAGCGGAAUUCCCAGUGUAGCGGUGAGAUGCGUAGAGAUUGGGAGGAACACCAGUGGCGAAGGCGGCUUACUGGGCUGUAACUGACGCUGAGGCGCGAAAGCGUGGGGAGCGAACAGGAUUAGAUACCCUGGUAGUCCACGCGGUAAACGAUGAAUGCUAGGUGUUGCGGGUAUCGACCCCUGCAGUGCCGGAGUAAACACAAUAAGCAUUCCGCCUGGGGAGUACGGCCGCAAGGUUGAAACUCAAAUGAAUUGGCGGGG